AGAGUUUGAUCCUGGCUCAGGACGAACGCUGGCGGCGUUAACACAUGCAAGUCGAGCGAACCUUCGGGUUAGCGGCGAACGGGUGAGUAACACGUGAGCAACCUGCCCUUGGCUCUGGGAUAGCCUCCGGAAACGGGGAUUAAUACCGGAUAGGACCUUCAGCCUCAUGGCUGGGGGUGGAAAGUUUUUCGGCCAGGGAGGGGCUCGCGGCCUAUCAGCUUGUUGGGGGGGUGACGGCCCACCAAGGCGACGACGGGUAGCCGGCCUGAGAGGGCGGCCGGCCACACUGGGACUGAGACACGGCCCAGACUCCUGCGGGAGGCAGCAGUGGGGAAUAUUGCGCAAUGGGGGGAACCCUGACGCAGCGACGCCGCGUGCGGGAUGAAGGCCUUCGGGUUGUAAACCGCUUUCAGCAGGGGCGAAUCUGACGGUACCUGCAGAAGAAGCGCCGGCUAACUACGUGCCAGCAGCCGCGGUAAUACGUAGGGCGCGAGCGUUGUCCGGAAUUAUUGGGCGUAAAGAGCUCGUAGGCGGCUUGUCGCGUCUGCUGUGAAAUCCCGGGGCUUAACCCCGGGCGUGCAGUGGAUACGGGCAGGCUGGAGGCAGGCAGGGGAGAACGGAAUUCCCGGUGUAGCGGUGAAAUGCGCAGAUAUCGGGAGGAACACCGGUGGCGAAGGCGGUUCUCUGGGCCUGUUCUGACGCUGAGGAGCGAAAGCGUGGGGAGCGAACAGGAUUAGAUACCCUAGUAGUCC
rnacentral:rRNA from 1 species